rnacentral:rRNA from 1 species
UACAGAGGGGGCGAGCGUUGUUCGGAAUUACUGGGCGUAAAGGCGCGUAGGCGGCCAACUAAGUCAGACGUGAAAAUCCCUCGGCUCAACCGGGGAACUGCGUCUGAUACUGGAUGGCUUGAAUUCGGGAGAGGGAUGCGGAAUUCCAAGGUGUAGCGGUGAAAUGACGGUAGAUAGUCCGGAGGAACACCAGCGGCGAAGGCGGCUCUCUGGGACGGUAC